UGUGACCACCGUGCGUGCCAUGAGGGCCCCUUCCGGGUUGUCGUCAUUGGCCUGGACAUGAAUGAGGAUGAUGGCGAUUGUGUUGCACACGCGUGCGUGUCCUCGCCGGUGAUGCCCGAGUGGAGCAGGGCGUGCUCGGAUUCUCAUUUUGAUGGGUGGAGCAGGGCGUGCUCUGAUUCUCGUUUUGAUGGCUGGAGCAAGCAGUGCUCUGGUCUUUAUCUUCUCGCAGGCGAUCCAAAAAUUGAUGCACUGCCUCCUGUCCUCGUUGAUGACGCACUUCACUUCAGGCUUACGGAUGACGAUGAGCGUGUAGGAAUUCUCAAGUACGACUUGAGCUCUAAUUGCUUAUCAAUGAUUGAUGUGCCGCUUACGAGGUUGCCCAUUGUCUGGCCCGCUAUCCUCAUGGCAUUGGAGGAUGGCGGCUUGGGGUUAGCACACUUGGACGGGUUAACCCUCUAUCUAUGGUCAAGACAGAUAGAUUCCAACGGAGUUGCGUCAUGGACUCAGCAUAAAGUCAUCGAUCUAAAGGAACUUCUCCCCAUUCAAAAUCCCAAGAAAAGAACUAGUGUUAUUGGAUCUGUCGAGGGCCAUGAUAUCAUUUUCGUGAACAUAGAUCUUGGCAUCUACGAGAUUAAUUUGAAGACACUACAGUGGAAGAAGCUAUGGAAGAGAGAAAAGUUCCGUUCUUUUAUUCCAUACAUGAGCUUCUACAACCGACAAGAAAGGGUGAGGCUGCAAGGCAUUGACAACAUAUGAUUGAAUAUGCUUAAGGGAGGCAACAUGAGAAAUGUUUAUUUGAAGGCGAGGCAACAUACGAUCAGUAGGGGAGGGACUCCAGCAUUUCAAAAUAACAUGAAAGAUUCAGUAUAAAGGAUUCUGCAGUUAACUGCCUAACCUCUCCUUCAAAAUAACAUGAAAGAUUCAGUAUAAAGACGGGUGCCUAGACUCUACACCAGCCAUGGCUUCAGCUGAACUCCAUCCAUCAUUGAACGCUGUGCCUCGAUCCAGUUUUCUCAACUCUCUGUGAUGGAUGCCGUCCAGCAGAUCUCUGUAGGUUUGUUC